rnacentral:rRNA from 1 species
AGCGAACGUUUGCGGCGGGCCUAACACAUGCAAGUCGAACGCACUAGCAAUAGUGAGUGGCGCACGGGUGCGUAACACGUGGGUAAUCAACCCUUCAGCUUGGGAUAACGACUUGAAAGGGUCGCUAAUACCGGAUACGGCGCGGGAGGCUUCGGCUUCUCACGAGAAAGCCUCGCAAGGGGCACUGAAGGACGAGCCUGCGGCCCAUCAGCUAGUUGGUGAGGUAAGAGCUCACCAAGGCGAAGACGGGUAGCUGGUCUGAGAGGAUGAUCAGCCACACUGGAACUGAGACACGGUCCAGACUCCUACGGGAGGCAGCAGUGGGGAAUAUUGCGCAAUGGGCGAAAGCCUGACGCAGCCACGCCGCGUGAGCGAUGAAGGCCUUCGGUCGUAAA